CCUACGGGAGGCAGCAGUAGGGAAUCUUCCGCAAUGGACGAAAGUCUGACGGAGCAACGCCGCGUGAACGAUGAAGGCCUUCGGGUCGUAAAGUUCUGUUGUUAGGGAAGAACAAGUGCUAGUUGAAUAAGCUGGCACCUUGACGGUACCUAACCAGAAAGCCACGGCUAACUACGUGCCAGCAGCCGCGGUAAUACGUAGGUGGCAAGCGUUGUCCGGAAUUAUUGGGCGUAAAGCGCGCGCAGGCGGUUUCUUAAGUCUGAUGUGAAAGCCCCCGGCUCAACCGGGGAGGGUCAUUGGAAACUGGGAAACUUGAGUGCAGAAGAGGAAAGUGGAAUUCCAAGUGUAGCGGUGAAAUGCGUAGAGAUUUGGAGGAACACCAGUGGCGAAGGCGACUUUCUGGUCUGUAACUGACGCUGAGGCGCGAAAGCGUGGGGAGCAAACAGGAUUAGAUACCCUGGUAGUCCACGCUGUAAACGAUGAGUGCUAAGUGUUAGAGGGUUUCCGCCCUUUAGUGCUGAAGUUAACGCAUUAAGCACUCCGCCUGGGGAGUACGGUCGCAAGCUGAAACUCAAAGGAUUGACGG
rnacentral:rRNA from 1 species